UACGAAGGGGGCUAGCGUUGCUCGGAAUCACUGGGCGUAAAGGGUGCGUAGGCGGGUCUUUAAGUCAGGGGUGAAAUCCUGGAGCUCAACUCCAGAACUGCCUUUGAUACUGAAGAUCUUGAGUUCGGGAGAGGUGAGUGGAGCUGCGAGUGUAGAGGUGAAAUUCGUAGAUAUUCGCAAGAACACCAGUGGCGAAGGCGGCUCACUGGCCCGAUACUGACGCUGAGGCACGAAAGCGUGGGGAGGCAAACAGGG
rnacentral:rRNA from 1 species